rnacentral:rRNA from 1 species
CAGUCGCCGCGGGAACACGUAGGUGGCAAGCGUUGUCCGGAAUUAUUGGGCGUAAAGGGCUCGCAGGCGGUUUCUUAAGUCUGAUGUGAAAGCCCCCGGCUCAACCGGGGAGGGUCAUUGGAAACUGGGAAACUUGAGUGCAGAAGAGGAGAGUGGAAUUCCACGUGUAGCGGUGAAAUGCGUAGAGAUGUGGAGGAACACCAGUGGCGAAGGCGACUCUCUGGUCUGUAACUGACGCUGAGGAGCGAAAGCGUGGGGAGCGAACAGGAUUAGAGACCCCCGUAGUCCCUGUCUCUUAUAC